GAAUGCACAUGCUUGAACGGAACUGAUGUAUGCAUUUGCAUCUUGAAGGGGAGACACUUGAUUUUUACUGGUUUGAUUUGUAUCGUUACCGUCUCUCCGAUGAUUGCAGGGUUGUUUUACACGGAAUGCAAAUAUAAAGAAUAUUUUUUUGGUGUUGGUAUUGUUUUAGCUGUGAUAAUGUUGAUAUUUUAUCACCUUCUGGAAAAAUCAAAGCAACAAGCUGAAUCAUGGACAGGAAACACACAAAACCCCACAAAUAGAGAGACUGAUGAGGAACACACGAGUUUUACAUACUUAAAUGGAGAGUCAACUUAAACAAGGGGGUUAUUUGACAUUUGGAUAUACGAUGAAAAAUAGCUGCAAAAAAAGAACGUCAAUCGUCCCCGAAUUGUAUGGUGAUACACGUGUUUGAAGAAAUUAAAUGAAAGUGUUUGCAUAAAGUCUUUUAUAUCAGUUAAGUGCAUGAUGGUUUGUAAAGAUUUAUUCAGUGACUGUA